AUGACAGAAGUGGCAUUAGCUAUAGCUGGCUUAAGAUUAGCUGCAUCGCCGGUUUUGAAGAAGCUCCUUGCUUAUUCUUCAACGUACCUUGGAGUGGACAUGGCACUUGAGCUCCAUGAACUGGAAGCUACUAUCAUGCCACAGUUCGAGCUGUUGAUUGAAGCAGCAGACAAGGGAAAACACAGGCCCAAGUUGGACAAAUGGCUUGAAGAACUCAAAGAAGCCUUCUACUUGGCUGAAGAAUUGCUGGAAGAGCAUGAGUAUAACCGUCUCAAGCGCCAAGCAAAGGGGAAGGAUUCUUUGCCGCCCAAUGCCUCCACGAUCGGCAGCACUUUUAUGAAGCCUCUGCGUGCUGCAUCAAGCAGGCUGUCCAAUCUGAGCUCUGAGAACAGAAAGCUCCUUCGGCAGCUGCAUGAACUGAAGGCUACCCUGGCGAAAGCCAAGGAGUUCCGUGAACUGCUCUGCUUACCAGCCAUCUAUAAUGCAGAGAGCCCCACCAUACCAUCAGUUGAUGUUCUUGAGGCCACAUCACUACAACCUAUGAAAGUGAUUGGUCGUGACAAGGAUUGCGAUCAUAUAAUUGAUCGCCUUACCAAGACAACUGCUACUACUGAGUCUGAGUCUAGUACAGCUAUGUACUCGGGUUUGGCCAUUGUUGGAGUUGGAGGCAUGGGAAAGUCCACAUUAGCACAACUUGUUUACAAUGACAAGAGGGUAAAAGAAUAUUUUGAUGUGACAAUGUGGGUAAGCAUCUCACGCAAACUUGAUGUCCGUCGUCAUACACGGGAGAUCAUCGAGUCUGUCUCUCAGGGGGAAUGCCCACACAUUGGUAGCCUUGAUACUCUGCAGCACAAGUUGGCAAACAUACUGCAAGAAUCAGGGAAAUUUCUUCUUGUGUUGGAUGAUGUUUGGUUUGAACCUGGCAGUGAGGGGGAAUGGGACCAACUAUUAGCUCCUCUAGUUUCGCAACAGAUGGGAAGCAAAAUUUUGGUAACUUCUCGAAGGAAUACAUUUCCAGCUGCUCUUUGCUGUGAAGUGUGUCCUCUGGAAAACAUGGAAGAUGCUCAGUUCUUGGCACUCUUCAAACACUAUGCAUUCUCUGGACCAAAAAUCAUAGAUCUGCAGUUGCGCGAAAGGCUUGAAGAUUUUGCAGAGAAGGUUGCUAAAAGACUUGGACAAUCUCCUCUGGCGGCAAAAGUUGUGGGUUCCCAGUUGAAAGGGAAAACAUGUACCAAUGCAUGGAAGGAAGCUCUAAAUAUGAAGAUUAACAAAUUAAGUGAGCCCAUGAGAGCUCUAUUAUGGAGCUAUGAGAAGUUAGAUCCAUGUUUGCAGAGGUGCUACCUAUAUUGUAGCUUGUUUCCAAAAGGUCACAAGUAUGUUACGGAUGAGUUGGUUCUUCUUUGGAUGGCAGAGGGCCUUAUUUAUUCUUACAACCAAAACAAGAGUGUGGAAGAUGUCGGGCGGGACUGCUUCAAGGAGAUGAUAUCUGUCUCCUUCUUUCAACCAGUUAAUGAGAAAUAUCAUGUUAUGCAUGAUCUCCUUCAUGAUCUUGCAGAAUCACUCUCCAAAGGGAACUGCUUCAGAUUGGAAGAUGAUAAGGUGACAGAUGUACCAUCCAGUGUUCGACAUCUAUCUGUUCGUGUUGAUAGUAUAAUGCAACACAAGCAAAGUAUCUGCAAGCUACAUCAUUUACGCACUAUUAUCUGCAUAGACCCCCUAAUGGAUGAUGUAGUUGACCUUUUUAACCAGAUACUACAGAAUUUGAAGAAGUUGCGCGUACUAUAUUUGUCAUCUUACAGUAGUAGUAAGUUGCCAGAAUCUGUUGGUGAGUUGAAGCACCUUCGGUAUUUGAAUAUCAUCAGAACAUUGAUUUCUGAAUUGCCAAGAUCUCUGUGUACUCUUUACCACUUGCAGUUACUUCUGUUCAAUCACAAAGUCGAGAAUUUGCCAGAGAAACUCUGCAAUUUAAAGAAGUUACGGCAUCUUGAAUAUCGUCAGGAUCUAUAUUACAUGCCCAAGAAAGCACUGCCUCAAGUUCCUAACAUCGGCAAGCUAACUUCUCUUCAACAAUUUGAAGAAUUUUCAGUGCAAAAUAAAAUGGGUUAUGGGUUGCUACAGCUAAGUGACAUGAACCAGAUCCGUGGAAGUUUAAGUGUCACAAAUCUUGAGAAUGCCACUGGGAAGGAUCAAGCCUUGAAAUCAAAGUUGUAUCAGAAAAUUCAUCUUCGCAGCUUGCAACUUGUCUGGAGUUGCAAGGAUGACACAAACUCUGAACAUAGCUUACAUUUGGAGAUUCUAGAAGGCAUGAUGCCACCGCCUCAACUUGGGGCCCUUAGUAUUCACGGUUACAAAUCGUCAAAAUAUCCAGGCUGGUUACUUGAUGGUUCAUAUUUUGAGAAUUUGGAAUCCUUAAGCUUUGUUGAUUGCAGCAUGGUAGAAAGCCUACCAUCCAACACUGGACUAUUUGGAAAUUGCUCUUCUCUUGCCCUCCGCAAUGUGCCAAACCUGCAGAUGCUACCUUGUCUUCCACUAGGCCUUAAAAUAUUAGUAGUAGAGAAAUGCCCACUGCUUAUAUUUAUCUCCAACAAUGGGCUGGGAUAUCUUGAUCAGAGGGAGAAUAUCAUGAGGACAGACCACUUGGCAUCACAACUUGGUUUAAUCUGGGGGGUGGGUUCAGGAUCAUAUAUGAGGAAUGCGUUCUCAUCUGAACAUUCAGUUCUGAAGCAGCUGAUGAUAUCAAUGCAUGCUGAUGUGUCACAUGUUCAGAACCUUGAAAGUGCUCUAGAAAGAGAGAAAGACGAAGUGUUGGUAAAAGAGGAUAUCAUCAAGGCAUGGAUAUACUGUCAUGAGCGGAGGAUGGGACUCAUGCAUGGAAGGAGCAUUGGGCCGCUGCUGACUCCACCAGAAGGACUUCAUGAACUCACUCUUUCUUCAUGCUAUAUUACAGAUGGAGCUUUAGCUGUUUGCCUUGAUGGCCUGGCUUCACUGGAAAAACUGUUCUUAGCAGAGAUUAUGACUUUAUCUACACUUCCUUCAGAAGAGGUCUUCCAACGUUUGGCAAAACUUGACCGCUUGGACAUCAAACAUUGCUGGUGUCUCAGGUCAUUAGGGGGCUUACGAGCUGCCACCUCUCUUUCAUGUCUCAUAUUGAGUUAUUGCCCUUCUUUAGAGUUGGCAGAUGGAGCAGAAUGCUUGCCAUUAUGCCUUCAAAGAUUAAGUAUAACUGGUUGCGUGCUUGCACCUGACUUCCUCUGCGGUGACUGGCCACACAUGGAUCGUAUUUUCAUAUCCUACAGUAGAAGCACCGCAUGCUUGUCUGUUGGUAAUCUCACCUCCGUUGAAUCACUCUACCUGUAUUACUUGCCAGAUCUAUGUACACUCGAAGGAUUGUCUUCCUUGCACCUUAAAGAUGUACAUUUGAUUGACGUUCCGAAACUCACCCCCGAGUGUAUCUCACAGUUUCGAGUCAAGAAGUCACUCUAUGUUAGUAGCUCUGCUAUACUCAACAAAAUGCUUGCGGCUGAAGAUUUCACAGUUCCACCAUUUCUCUGUUUUGAAGCAUGCAAGGAACCAUUCAUUUCACUAGAAGAAUCUGCAUAUAUCACUUCUGUCAAGAUCCUGUGCUUCUUUAACUGUGAACUGAUUUCCCUGCCAACAAAUCUGAAGUGCUUCUCCAAUCUGAAGGAUCUACAUAUCUCUAGCUGCCCUAACAUAUCAUCUUUACCAGAUUUGCCAUCCUGCCUCCAGCGCAUUUUCUUAACGGGUUGUGGUGAGCUCUUGAAGGAGAGUUGCCGACAACCUGAUGGAAAAAGUUGGCCAAAGAUCGCGCAUAUCCGCAUCAAGGAAAUUAGUUCAACCGUGAUUUAG
rnacentral:rRNA from 1 species